UUUUUUCUGGAGAUGGUUCCUCUGUGGUGGGGACUCAGCACUGUUGGCAAGGAAUGGUACAAUGAGGUGAACGUCAUGAAAGAAGGAAAGAGCCACGGAGAUGUGAUACUGAGAGACAAGAACCUGCUCUGCAUAAAACAGCCAGCACAUCGGAUUCAGUCUCUAAACAGAAAGGCCUUAAGCUGAUGAGAAGGUGUUUCGUGAAUACCCAAUUAACAUUUCAGUGACUGAAGUAAGGCUUGUAAUAAUCCAUCUCCUGGAGCUGCCUUAAUUGCUCAUAGAAAAAUACGUUUGUGCCAUAAAAAAUGUAUUUUGGGUCUGGAAGAAGAUGAGCUUGGCUGUUCAGAAUGCUGAACAGAUGGUGGUGUAGAGUCCUGGACUGCAAAUUCAGCUGUGCUUUCGGGUGCCUGCAAAUUAGGCCACCCCUUUGGAAUGCUGCAGAGCCAACGAGCAUCCAUCCAGGACCCUUUUAAUAAUAACUGGUGUUGUGUACUAUUUUGAACUGCAAAAACAGUUAUUUUCAUUUUAAUGUAAUAAUAGUGCUGCAGACUGCUGGAUGUACUUCCUAGCUGUGAAUAUAUGUAAUAAGAUGCUACCUUGCAGCUGUGCUUCUGUGUGAAGUUACUGUAAGUAUCUCAAAGUACUGUCAGUCCAUGGAAAAGUAGUGUUGAAUAAUGCUAAAACGUCUUAAUGCUCCAUGUAGCUAAACUGGAAACAGACUCCUGUAUUUCAAUAACUGUAUACAAAUGUAUUCUGCUUAUGUAUGGUUUAUACUAAAUAAAUGAGUUGCUUUUUGGACUUCCUA